rnacentral:rRNA from 1 species
AUUGAACGCUGGCGGCAGGCCUAACACAUGCAAGUCGAACGGUAACAGGAAGAAGCUUGCUUCUUUGCUGACGGGAGGCGGGCGUGAGAGUAAUGUCUGGUAAACUGCCUGAUGGAGGGGGAUAACUACUGGAAACGGUAGCUAAUACCGCAUAACGUCGCAAGACCAAAGAGGGGGAGCUUCGGGCGUCUUGCCAUCGGAUGUGCCCAGAUGGGAUUAGCUAGUAGGUGGGUAACGGCUCACCUAGGCGACGAUCCCUAGCUGGGGUGAGAGGAUGACCAGCCACACUGGGACUGAGACACGGUCCAGACUCCUACGGGAGGCAGCAGUGGGGAAUAUUGCACAAUGGGCGCAAGCCUGAUGCAGCCAUGCCGCGUGUAUGAAGAAGGCCUUCGGGUUGUAAAGUACUUUCAGCGGGGAGGAAGGGAGUAAAGUUAAUACCUUUACUCAUUGACGUUACCCGCAGAAGAAGCACCGGCUAACUCCGUG